UACGUAGGGGGCAAGCGUUAUCCGGAUUUACUGGGUGUAAAGGGAGCGUAGACGGCAUAGCGAGUCUGAAGUGAAAGCCCGUGGCUCAACCGCGGAACUGCUUUGGAAACUGUUAAGCUGGAGUACUGGAGAGGCAAGCGGAAUUCCUAGUGUAGCGGUGAAAUGCGUAGAUAUUAGGAGGAACACCAGUGGCGAAGGCGGCUUGCUGGACAGAGACUGACGUUGAGGCUCGAAAGCGUGGGGAGCAAACAGG
rnacentral:rRNA from 1 species